GGGUUGUGAGGUUAAGCGACUAAGCGUACACGGUGGAUGCCCUGGCAGUCAGAGGCGAUGAAGGACGUGCUAAUCUGCGAUAAGCGUCGGUAAGGUGAUAUGAACCGUUAUAACCGGCGAUUUCCGAAUGGGGAAACCCAGUGUGUUUCGACACACUAUCAUUAACUGAAUCCAUAGGUUAAUGAGGCGAACCGGGGGAACUGAAACAUCUAAGUACCCCGAGGAAAAGAAAUCAACCGAGAUUCCCCCAGUAGCGGCGAGCGAACGGGGAGCAGCCCAGAGCCUGAAUCAGUGUGUGUGUUAGUGGAAGCGUCUGGAAAGGCGUGCGAUACAGGGUGACAGCCCCGUACACAAAAAUGCACAUAUUGUGAGCUCGAUGAGUAGGGCGGGACACGUGGUAUCCUGUCUGAAUAUGGGGGGACCAUCCUCCAAGGCUAAAUACUCCUGACUGACCGAUAGUGAACCAGUACCGUGAGGGAAAGGCGAAAAGAACCCCGGCGAGGGGAGUGAAAAAGAACCUGAAACCGUGUACGUACAAGCAGUGGGAGCACGCUUAGGCGUGUGACUGCGUACCUUUUGUAUAAUGGGUCAGCGACUUAUAUUCUGUAGCAAGGUUAACCGAAUAGGGGAGCCGAAGGGAAACCGAGUCUUAACUGGGCGUUAAGUUGCAGGGUAUAGACCCGAAACCCGGUGAUCUAGCCAUGGGCAGGUUGAAGGUUGGGUAACACUAACUGGAGGACCGAACCGACUAAUGUUGAAAAAUUAGCGGAUGACUUGUGGCUGGGGGUGAAAGGCCAAUCAAACCGGGAGAUAGCUGGUUCUCCCCGAAAGCUAUUUAGGUAGCGCCUCGUGAAUUCAUCUCCGGGGGUAGAGCACUGUUUCGGCAAGGGGGUCAUCCCGACUUACCAACCCGAUGCAAACUGCGAAUACCGGAGAAUGUUAUCACGGGAGACACACGGCGGGUGCUAACGUCCGUCGUGAAGAGGGAAACAACCCAGACCGCCAGCUAAGGUCCCAAAGUCAUGGUUAAGUGGGAAACGAUGUGGGAAGGCCCAGACAGCCAGGAUGUUGGCUUAGAAGCAGCCAUCAUUUAAAGAAAGCGUAAUAGCUCACUGGUCGAGUCGGCCUGCGCGGAAGAUGUAACGGGGCUAAACCAUGCACCGAAGCUGCGGCAGCGACGCUUAUGCGUUGUUGGGUAGGGGAGCGUUCUGUAAGCCUGUGAAGGUGUGCUGUGAGGCAUGCUGGAGGUAUCAGAAGUGCGAAUGCUGACAUAAGUAACGAUAAAGCGGGUGAAAAGCCCGCUCGCCGGAAGACCAAGGGUUCCUGUCCAACGUUAAUCGGGGCAGGGUGAGUCGACCCCUAAGGCGAGGCCGAAAGGCGUAGUCGAUGGGAAACAGGUUAAUAUUCCUGUACUUGGUGUUACUGCGAAGGGGGGACGGAGAAGGCUAUGUUGGCCGGGCGACGGUUGUCCCGGUUUAAGCGUGUAGGCUGGUUUUCCAGGCAAAUCCGGAAAAUCAAGGCUGAGGCGUGAUGACGAGGCACUACGGUGCUGAAGCAACAAAUGCCCUGCUUCCAGGAAAAGCCUCUAAGCAUCAGGUAACAUCAAAUCGUACCCCAAACCGACACAGGUGGUCAGGUAGAGAAUACCAAGGCGCUUGAGAGAACUCGGGUGAAGGAACUAGGCAAAAUGGUGCCGUAACUUCGGGAGAAGGCACGCUGAUAUGUAGGUGAAGUCCCUUGCGGAUGGAGCUGAAAUCAGUCGAAGAUACCAGCUGGCUGCAACUGUUUAUUAAAAACACAGCACUGUGCAAACACGAAAGUGGACGUAUACGGUGUGACGCCUGCCCGGUGCCGGAAGGUUAAUUGAUGGGGUCAGCGCAAGCGAAGCUCUUGAUCGAAGCCCCGGUAAACGGCGGCCGUAACUAUAACGGUCCUAAGGUAGCGAAAUUCCUUGUCGGGUAAGUUCCGACCUGCACGAAUGGCGUAAUGAUGGCCAGGCUGUCUCCACCCGAGACUCAGUGAAAUUGAACUCGCUGUGAAGAUGCAGUGUACCCGCGGCAAGACGGAAAGACCCCGUGAACCUUUACUAUAGCUUGACACUGAACAUUGAGCCUUGAUGUGUAGGAUAGGUGGGAGGCUUUGAAGUGUGGACGCCAGUCUGCAUGGAGCCGACCUUGAAAUACCACCCUUUAAUGUUUGAUGUUCUAACGUGGACCCGUGAUCCGGGUUGCGGACAGUGUCUGGUGGGUAGUUUGACUGGGGCGGUCUCCUCCUAAAGAGUAACGGAGGAGCACGAAGGUUGGCUAAUCCUGGUCGGACAUCAGGAGGUUAGUGCAAUGGCAUAAGCCAGCUUGACUGCGAGCGUGACGGCGCGAGCAGGUGCGAAAGCAGGUCAUAGUGAUCCGGUGGUUCUGAAUGGAAGGGCCAUCGCUCAACGGAUAAAAGGUACUCCGGGGAUAACAGGCUGAUACCGCCCAAGAGUUCAUAUCGACGGCGGUGUUUGGCACCUCGAUGUCGGCUCAUCACAUCCUGGGGCUGAAGUAGGUCCCAAGGGUAUGGCUGUUCGCCAUUUAAAGUGGUACGCGAGCUGGGUUUAGAACGUCGUGAGACAGUUCGGUCCCUAUCUGCCGUGGGCGCUGGAGAACUGAGGGGGGCUGCUCCUAGUACGAGAGGACCGGAGUGGACGCAUCACUGGUGUUCGGGUUGUCAUGCCAAUGGCACUGCCCGGUAGCUAAAUGCGGAAGAGAUAAGUGCUGAAAGCAUCUAAGCACGAAACUUGCCCCGAGAUGAGUUCUCCCUGACCCUUUAAGGGUCCUGAAGGAACGUUGAAGACGACGACGUUGAUAGGCCGGGUGUGUAAGCGCAGCGAUGCGUUGAGCUAACCGGUACUAAUGAACCGUGAGGCUUAACCUUACAACGCCGAAG
rnacentral:rRNA from 1 species